GGCCUUUCGAUUUUAAGUCGAGUUUUGAAAUGAAGAUAACAGAUGAUCAGAGUUAUGUUACCUUGUUUUUGCCUCUAGCCGGUCUUCAUUGGUUGGCAUCCUUAAAUUAAUUCACUUUGGCUUCUCGGAGAUUGGCUUCGAGAGGUUGACCUUCAGGAGCUCACUUUUGGGAGUUGGAGCUUGGCUUCGAGAGGUUGACCUUCAAGAGCUCACUUUUGAGGG
rnacentral:lncRNA from 1 species